rnacentral:tRNA from 1 species
GCAACGGUGGUCUAGCUGUUAGAACGCCGGCCUUGUAAUCCUGGGGUCUCGGGUUCGAUUCCCGGCGGUGCC